ACAUCAAUAAGAAUUUAUUUAAAAAAAAAAAAGUAAGUAAGAAAAGAUGCUAAGAAGGGCAAGCACGGUCCAUGUAUUAUGAUGGAUGGCCAUCCUUUUAGCUGACAUAAAGACAAGACAGACAAAGACAAUGUAUAAUACUCCAUGAGCUCCAGACUUAUGCCUAAAAAUCAUGCCAUUAUUUCAUACUACUACUCUAGACAUAAAAUAACCCAUUCAGUUCUCUGUAAAAACCCAUGGUAUUUUAUGCUGAUUUUCAUUUAUUUAUGUAAAGAUGUUUGUAUUCAAAACCAGCUGUAUUAUUGUUUGCAAUAAUUGCGUUUACAUUGCUGAAUGCUUUAGAAUCUGCUUUCCCUAUACAAAUUUAGCACAUCUUUAAAUAUUUAUCAUAUCUCAUUCAAACUGAUAACAUUAUUUUAUUGUAUUGUAACACCAAGGUACGCAUGUUUUUUUGGCCUAAAGCUGGCCAUACAUGCACAGAUAUAAUCGUACGAAUGGUGGUUUCGUACGAUGUUCGUCCGACUUUCGUCCCGAUAAUUGUUGUACCAUGACGAUUGGUCGUUUAGUCGAUCGGUCAGGUUAAAAAAUUUCUGUCAGAUGACGAUAAAAUCUGUGCAUUUAUUUUGUAUCGGAUGAUAACUUGGACGACCCAUGACGUAUGUUUGCCCUGAUAACCUAUGACAUGUAUUGAAAAUUGUGCGCGCGUAGAAACGUACGUACGUUAUACAUACGUACGCGGACCUUUGCCAACCCUGUAUUUCUUGCUACCUAAAUUACCCUAUUUCUAUAUUAUUGGACUAGCUAACAAUGGAAUCCUGCUGCAGGGGUGGUUCACCAAGUAAACUUUCUCUAGCAACUUUUCAAUUGGUCUUCUUUAGUAAAUGAGGGGUUGCUAACCAACUAAAUUAAAGUCAAGGAAAUUUGGUGUGGUACAACAAAUAGAAUGUGUUUAUUUUGGUACCAUUUUCUAAUAUGUCCUUUGUUUCUUUCACAAACACAAAAAAAAUAUGAAAAUAUAUAAAAAGAAAUUAUUUAGAAGAUCUGCACAAAAUAUUUCAAAGAUAAAAGAUCUGCACUUAAAAGAUCUGCAUUUAAAAUUUGGAGAAACAUGAAAACUAUUCGGAUUUUUUUUCAAUUUCGUCAAUAAUUUCGGUGAUUUCUUGUUCCAGCAAUAUUAUGGCUUCCUCUGCACACUGUAUAGCUUUCUUUGCAACUUGGAAACGAUCAGCACAGCUUCUCAGUUUACUCUGGUAGUUGGUUUUUUUUGCUAGUUUCCUUGUUGGAUUCAUCAUCCAAACCUUAAAUAAGAUACACACAUUAAAAUAUAUACAACUAAACAAACCCUAGUCCAAAGACCACCCAUCUAUGCACAAACCUGAUAUGGGCAGCGUGUCUUGCGAGGAGCUGUGGGGCUCUUCAGUGUUGUCUGUUUUCUGAGAUUCAAAACUCACAUCCAAAGCCGCAUCUGUAGUGGAGUUAUUCUCUUCAAUGCCUUCUGUAAGGUCAAUAGCAGUAUCCUGAGUAUUUUGGUUAAUAUCAGUUGGUUGUCCUCUUUUUCUUUUCAUAGCAAGAAGUCUUGCUCUCUUGAUUUGUUCUACAAGAACACACAGUUAUUAAAAUAUAACACAUAAUAAACAAGUUAUGAUGAGCUAUUACAGGAACAGAGACAACACUGCAGAGAAGGAAAACACAGUGAGAGAAACAAAGAAAUCACAACACAUCCAUUUAAACAGGAUAUGGAGAAGCUGUAUCAGGAGAGUGAGUGAAUGCAGAAGGGAAAAGUACAGAGCAAUACAAUCAUUAUAAUACAAACGUUAAAGUACGGUGACGAAUUAGCGAACAAACUUUCGUCCGGAUGCACCAUUAAUUAUAUUAUAGCAUUUUAACUUACUUUUCUUUAUAGUCCGAUGAAUACUUUGUAACUGCUCUUCCUCCCUCAACUUCAGAUCUGACCAGCACUUCUGCAGUUGGUCUUUAGAGCGCAGCACGCCAAAUUUGGUUUUCAGUCCUUCAAUUACUUUAUUUAGAAUAUUAUCUUUUCGGGUAUUUGCCCGAUGGUAUACAGCUUUUUUGGCAUCAUAGUCAUGCUUCUCUAGGAUUUGUACCAUGUAUACCAUUUCUGCACGACUCAUAGGUGUAGCUCUGGUCAUUGUUGUAGCAGCCCUCUCUGUAGCAGGCUCUCCAUGAAGAAGACGAGAAGAACUGGCGCCAGAACCCGUGUGACGUCAGCGUAAAUUACGUAGUAUCGCGUGUCGUUCCGAAAAUACUUUGUGUUCAGGGAGUGUGGCGUGUGUUCAACCGAUCGUUCGUGUUCGUCCAAACGAAACCGUAUUUUUUUCCUUGAAAAUUACGUUUUAGCAUUCAGGAUAGCAGAAAAAUUCAUGAAUCCUGACUUCUUGAAAGAGUUUAUAGAGGCUUACCAUGCACAACCUUGUCUGUGGAGAGUAAAGUCAGUGGAGUAUUCCAACAGACAAAAAAGAAAGGACGCUUAUGAAGUUCUUGUGGAACUAUGCAAGAGGGUCUAUCCCUCUGCAAAUAUUGACUUUGUUAAGAACAAAAUUUCAAACAUAAGGACUGUGUUUUUCAAUAAAAUGUCAUAAAAUGUCAAUAAAAAAGUCAUCGAUAAAAUCGGGUGCCUCAACGGAUGAAAUAUACACCCCAAGACUGUGGUACUAUGAGCUCCUUUCUUUCACAGUGGAUCAGGAUGUACCGCGAGAUUCGAUUUAAAAUUUUGAAAGUCAGUCAGAAAUAAUAGAAUCAGCAUAUGGUGCAACAGAAGAGGGUAAGGAAAACAUUCCUAUACCACUGGAACAAGCAUCAUGGAGUUUGCAUUCUAAAAGCAAUGACCGUGAGGAGCCAGCGCAGGCCUCAGAACGAUGUCAGAGACCAGUAGCAAAGUCAAAAAAGAGAAAAGCACAACAGGAAGAUGCAAACAGCAAUUUUUUAAAUGAAGCAGUAGCUAUGCUUUCAAAACCGGAUGAUGAACUGGAUGCCUUUGCAUUUUUUGUGGCGUCUAAAUUGCGGAGGAUGAGCGAAGCUCAGUGGCUCAAAUGUGAGCUGUUAAUAACAGACUUACUACACCGAGGGCUGCAAAGUGAGCUUUCCAGUAGCACUACAAUAACCACCAAUUCUUUACCCAUGGUACCACAUCCACCACCUCAAUUUUGGACCCACUACCCUCAAUACUCACCUCAUACAUACCCUAAUAAUCCAGCUUCCUUAACCCCCUCACCAACAAACAGAAAUAUCCCCUUCUUCAAUAGCCCUUCCCCAAUAAACUCUGAAAAUAGUAUACAGUUCCAGGAAAACAAUUUAGAUUCGAGCAGGUACACUCAUUUAUAAUAUUUGCUCAUAUUGAGUUAAACUGUGCACUUGUGUUUACACUGCACUUUUUUUUCUUUUUGUUUAAGUUAUGGUUGCUGUUUAUUUGUACUAAGUUAAAUUCUAUCUUGAUAACAUGUUAAUGGUUUAAAUUUGUUUUUUAGUUCUUUCAUAACUUUUGCACUUUUUAAAAAAAAAAAAAAAUUCUAAAAACAACGCACUACAAUAAAAGUUUGUAAGUUUCAACAAACGAAUUGUUUAUUGUGUAAUUGGUAUAGAAUAACUGGUUUAUUCACAUUUCAAAAAUAUUUGCAAACAGGUAAAACUCUUUAAACCAUAUGAAAUUGCCAGUCAACUUUGCCAACACCAUUGAAGUACUGUAGAUAAUUUUCUCUGUUGGUUUUAGCAUCAUUUGAUGUGUUUCUUGUUUGUGAACUUUGCAGUUGUAGAAGCCUGUUGCUUUCAUGACGUCAUUCAGCUGGUACUAUGGUCCCUACUUGAAUAUCCUCAUGGUCCACUAUGCUAACAGGGGAUAAGAACCAUGAUUGUUCUUGCGCAGGAAAUUAUGUAGAACACAACAGGAAAGAACAACAAUAUCAAUUUUCUCUGGGCAUAAAUUUAUAGAGGUGUGGAAAAUACAAAACAAUUUGCCAGGAUUCCAAACGCGUUUUCAACAACUCGCCUAGCUCGUGACAGUCUAUAAUUGAAGAUCUUUCUUUCAGGUGUUAACACUUUCUGCGGAAACUGUUUCAAAAGGUUUUCAUGUAGACCAAAAGCCUCAUCAGCAACAAAUACAAAAUUGAGCCCUUCCUUGGUCUCCUCAUUAGUUGGCAAAUUCAAUUGUUUGCUCUUGAGUUUUUGAUUGAAAUGUGUUUGUUCAAUAACACCACCAUCAGAUAGUCUUCCAUUCUUACCAAUAUCAACCAUAAUAAAUUCAUAAUUUGCGUUCACAAUAACAAGCAAUACAAUACUAAAAAAGCCUUUGUAAUUGAAAAAAUAUGAACCGGAAUUUGGUGGUGGGUUUAUACGAAUGUGCUUCCUAUCUGCACCGCCACAGUUUGGGAAAUUCCAAUAAUCAUUGAACUGUUGCGCAAUUUGCUUGCCACUCUUCAGAAGUCUGAGGAAACUGUAAAAAAAAUAAAAUAAAGUGACUAUAUGUUUAUAUAUCAACACAUAUACAGUAUAUAUCAUCAACUUCCAAAUAUGCAUCAACUUCCUAAUAUAUUGUGGUAUAUUAAAGGCAAGUAUAUUAAGGGCAAGUAUAUUAGAGGAGAAGGAAAGGAAAAAUCUAUUAAGCACACUA